GGGUUGUGAGGUUAAGCGACCAAGCGUACACGGUGGAUGCCCUGGCAGUCAGAGGCGAUGAAGGACGUGCUAAUCUGCGAAAAGCGCCGGUAAGGUGAUAUGAACCGUUAUAACCGGCGAUGUCCGAAUGGGGAAACCCAGUGUGACUCGUCACACUAUCAUUAACUGAAUCCAUAGGUUAAUGAGGCGAACCGGGGGAACUGAAACAUCUAAGUACCCCGAGGAAAAGAAAUCAACCGAGAUUCCCCCAGUAGCGGCGAGCGAACGGGGAGGAGCCCAGAGCCUGAAUCAGCAUGUGUGUUAGUGGAAGCGUCUGGAAAGGCGCGCGAUACAGGGUGACAGCCCCGUACACAAAAGCGCAUGUGCUGUGAGCUCGAUGAGUAGGGCGGGACACGUGGUAUCCUGUCUGAAUAUGGGGGGACCAUCCUCCAAGGCUAAAUACUCCUGACUGACCGAUAGUGAACCAGUACCGUGAGGGAAAGGCGAAAAGAACCCCGGCGAGGGGAGUGAAACAGAACCUGAAACCGUGUACGUACAAGCAGUGGGAGCAUGAGUUUACUCAUGUGACUGCGUACCUUUUGUAUAAUGGGUCAGCGACUUAUAUUCUGUAGCAAGGUUAACCGUAUAGGGGAGCCGGAGGGAAACCGAGUCUUAACCGGGCGUUAAGUUGCAGGGUAUAGACCCGAAACCCGGUGAUCUAGCCAUGGGCAGGUUGAAGGUUGGGUAACACUAACUGGAGGACCGAACCGACUAAUGUUGAAAAAUUAGCGGAUGACCUGUGGCUGGGGGUGAAAGGCCAAUCAAACCGGGAGAUAGCUGGUUCUCCCCGAAAGCUAUUUAGGUAGCGCCUCGUGAAUUCAUCUCCGGGGGUAGAGCACUGUUUCGGCCAGGGGGCCAUCCCGGCUUACCAACCCGAUGCAAACUGCGAAUACCGGAGAAUGUUAUCACGGGAGACACACGGCGGGUGCUAACGUCCGUCGUGAAGAGGGAAACAACCCAGACCGCCAGCUAAGGUCCCAAAGUCAUGGUUAAGUGGGAAACGAUGUGGGAAGGCCCAGACAGCCAGGAUGUUGGCUUAGAAGCAGCCAUCAUUUAAAGAAAGCGUAAUAGCUCACUGGUCGAGUCGGCCUGCGCGGAAGAUGUAACGGGGCUAAACCAUGCACCGAAGCUGCGGCAGCGACACUGUGUGUUGUUGGGUAGGGGAGCGUUCUGUAAGCCUGCGAAGGUGUGCUGUGAGGCAUGCUGGAGGUAUCAGAAGUGCGAAUGCUGACAUAAGUAACGAUAAUGCGGGUGAAAAACCCGCACGCCGGAAGACCAAGGGUUCCUGUCCAACGUUAAUCGGGGCAGGGUGAGUCGACCCCUAAGGCGAGGCCGAAAGGCGUAGUCGAUGGGAAACGGGUUAAUAUUCCCGUACCUGGUGUUACUGCGAAGGGGGGACGGAGAAGGCUAUGUUGGCCGGGCGACGGUUGUCCCGGUUUAAGCGUGCAGGCUGGUUUUCCAGGCAAAUCCGGAAAAUCAAGGCUGAGGCGUGACGACGAGGCACUACGGUGCUGAAGCAACAAAUGCCCUGCUUCCAGGAAAAGCCUCUAAGCCUCAGGUAACAUCAGAUCGUACCCGAAACCGACACAGGUGGUCAGGUAGAGAAUACCAAGGCGCUUGAGAGAACCCGGGUGAAGGAACUAGGCAAAAUGGUGCCGUAACUUCGGGAGAAGGCACGCUGACACGUAGGUGAAGCGGUUUACCCGUGGAGCUGAAGUCAGUCGAAGAUACCAGCUGGCUGCAACUGUUUAUUAAAAACACAGCACUGUGCAAACACGAAAGUGGACGUAUACGGUGUGACGCCUGCCCGGUGCCGGAAGGUUAAUUGAUGGGGUCAGCGCAAGCGAAGCUCCUGAUCGAAGCCCCGGUAAACGGCGGCCGUAACUAUAACGGUCCUAAGGUAGCGAAAUUCCUUGUCGGGUAAGUUCCGACCUGCACGAAUGGCGUAAUGAUGGCCAGGCUGUCUCCACCCGGGACUCAGUGAAAUUGAACUCGCUGUGAAGAUGCAGUGUACCCGCGGCAAGACGGAAAGACCCCGUGAACCUUUACUAUAGCUUGACACUGAACACUGGUCCUUGAUGUGCAGGAUAGGUGGGAGGCUUUGAAGUGUGGACGCCAGUCUGCAUGGAGCCGUCCUUGAAAUACCACCCUUUAAUGGCUGGUGUUCUAACGUAGACCCGUGAACCGGGUUGCGGACAGUGUCUGGUGGGUAGUUUGACUGGGGCGGUCUCCUCCUAAAGCGUAACGGAGGAGCACGAAGGUUGGCUAAUCCUGGUCGGACAUCAGGAGGUUAGUGCAAUGGCAUAAGCCAGCUUGACUGCGAGCGUGACGGCGCGAGCAGGUGCGAAAGCAGGUCAUAGUGAUCCGGUGGUUCUGAAUGGAAGGGCCAUCGCUCAACGGAUAAAAGGUACUCCGGGGAUAACAGGCUGAUACCGCCCAAGAGUUCAUAUCGACGGCGGUGUUUGGCACCUCGAUGUCGGCUCAUCACAUCCUGGGGCUGAAGUAGGUCCCAAGGGUAUGGCUGUUCGCCAUUUAAAGUGGUACGCGAGCUGGGUUUAGAACGUCGUGAGACAGUUCGGUCCCUAUCUGCCGUGGGCGCUGGAGAACUGAGGGGGGCUGCUCCUAGUACGAGAGGACCGGAGUGGACGCAUCACUGGUGUUCGGGUUGUCAUGCCAAUGGCACUGCCCGGUAGCUAAAUGCGGAAGAGAUAAGUGCUGAAAGCAUCUAAGCACGAAACUUGCCCCGAGAUGAGUUCUCCCUGAGACUACAAGUCUCCUGAAGGAACGUUGAAGACGACGACGUUGAUAGGCCGGGUGUGUAAGCGCAGCGAUGCGUUGAGCUAACCGGUACUAAUGAACCGUGAGGCUUAACCUUACAACGCCGAAG
rnacentral:rRNA from 2 species